rnacentral:rRNA from 1 species
AUUGAACGCUGGCGGUAUGCUUAACACAUGCAAGUCGAACGCGAACGUACCUUCGGGUGCUAUUAGAGUGGCGGACGGGUGAGUAACGCGUGGGAAUCUACCUUAUAGUGGGGGACAGCCCGGAGAAAUCCGGAUUAAUACCGCAUACCUUCUACGGAAGAAAGGCUUCGGCCGCUAUUAGAUGAGCCCGCGUUAGAUUAGCUAGUUGGUGAGGUAAUGGCUCACCAAGGCAACGAUCUAUAGCUGGUCUGAGAGGACGAUCAGCCACAUCGGGACUGAGACACGGCCCGGACUCCUACGGGAGGCAGCAGUGGGGAAUAUUGGACAAUGGACGAAAGUCUGAUCCAGCAAUACCGCGUGUGUGAAGAAGGCCUGAGGGUUGUAAAGCACUUUCAGUUGGGAAGAUAAUGACGUUACCAACAGAAGAAGCACCGGCUAACUCCGUGCCAGCAGCCGCGGUAAUACGGAGGGUGCAAGCGUUAAUCGGAAUUACUGGGCGUAAAGCGCGCGUAGGCGGUUAUAUAAGUCAGAUGUGAAAUCCCUGGGCUCAACCUAGGAACUGCAUCUGAUACUAUAUAACUAGAGUUUUGGAGAGGUAAGUGGAAUUUCCGGUGUAGCGGUGAAAUGCAUAGAUAUCGGAAGGAACACCAGUGGCGAACGCGACUUACUGGCCAAGAACUGACGCUGAGGUGCGAAAGCGUGGGUAGCGAACAGGAUUAGAUACCCUGGUAGUCCACGCCGUAACGAUGUCACUAGUCGUUGGGUCCCUUGAGACUUAGUGACGCAGCUAACGCAUUAAGUUGACCGCCUGGGGAGUACG